UACGUAGGGGGCGAGCGUUGUCCGGAAUUACUGGGCGUAAAGGGCUUGUAGGCGGGAUGGCGCGUCGGGGAGUAAAUCUCUCGGCUCAACUGAGAGAACAUCUGCGAUACGGCCGUUCUUGAGGACAGAAGAGGAAAGCAGAAUUCCCGGUGUAGCGGUGAAAUGCGUAGAUAUCGGGAGGAAUACCAGUGGCGAAGGCGGCUUUCUGGUCUGAUUCUGACGCUGAGGAGCGAAAGCCAGGGGAGCGAACGGG
rnacentral:rRNA from 1 species